AAAUAAGAAGCGACUUUUGCACCCAGUUUCGACCUGGUUUUAGGUGUCAUUACACCCUUAUUUA
rnacentral:tRNA from 1 species